rnacentral:lncRNA from 1 species
GCCAAGGAAGACUCCAUCCGGACUCCCACGGGAGCCGGACUCCAUCCACGAUGCCAAGAAAGACUCCACCCGGACUCCUACGGGAGCCAGGCUCCAUACACGAUGCCAAGGAAGAUUCCACUCAGACUCCUACGGGAGUCGGGCUCCACCCACGACUUCUACAGCAAGAGCUGAUGGUGGCGAAGCCCGGCCGCCCAACA